CGGUAUUGUAUUUUGAUUAGCAAGUAUAACCACAUCAACAAGCCUUAGUGAAUGUCUUCAACAUCAGGGGUGCCCAAAAGGUAGAUCCUCAGAUGUUUCUAAACAGCUUCCAUGAUGUGUUGUCAUACUGAAGGUAUGCAAAGCAUCAAAGGGGAGUUGUAGUUCUAAACAUCUGGGAUUUACAUUUUGGGCAUACCUGCUCUAUAUGAACAUUAUUUGCUACUAGUAUUAAAACACUGUUGUCUAACUUGC